CCUCGGAUGCUAAGGGCUGCGGA
rnacentral:piRNA from 1 species